rnacentral:rRNA from 1 species
UGGUGGAGUGAUUUGUCUGGUUAAUUCCGUUAACGAACGAGACCUUAGCCUGCUAAAUAGUUACGUGUAACUUCGGUUAUGCGGGCAACUUCUUAGAGGGACUUUGUGUGUCUAACCCAAGGAAGUUUGAGGCAAUAACA